UACAGAGGGUGCGAGCGUUGUUCGGAAUUACUGGGCGUAAAGCGCGCGCAGGCGGCCUUUUAAGUCUACCCGUGAAAUGCCGGAGCUCAACUCCGUGCACGCCGGGGGAUACUGGAGGGCUGGAGACAGGUAGAGGCAGGCGGAAUUCCGGGUGUAGCGGUGGAAUGCGUAGAGAGUCCGGAAGAACACCAGAGGCGAAGGCGGCCUGCUGGGCCU
rnacentral:rRNA from 1 species